CUCAUUCAGCUUGGCUGCAUUUCUUAAAAUAUUUUCAUUAACUUUGAAGAACAAAUAUCAUUAUUUGGUAUUAAAAAGGUUGUGUUCUAAUAGAUCGCCCGCGGCGCCCUCAACGACUGCUGAGCUCAGCAGCCAUCAUCGGGGUCUUAUUGACGAUCCUGUGAGCACCCUACGCUGUGUGCCCUGUGGCUGGCAUCACUCAGUGCAGGACUAUGGACAAUGAGAUUCCUACUGAUAUGUGCAGAAGAUGAUGCCUGCGGGAAUUUGCUGUAGAAAUAUAACACAGUAAAUGAAGUAGGGAGACUUUGACUGCAACAGGGUAGUAGAGACAAGGUUUCCUGAAUGUUCCGUAGGGUGCAUCUUUUGGGCAUGGAACUUGAAUUAGGAGGUGAUUUUUAGUUCUUGAAGGGUGUGUGGGAUGAAAGCAGUGAAAGGUUAUGACAGGGUGACUCCCCACAACAAUGUGUAGGUGCAUUCUGCAGUGUGUGUACCAGCUUUGCUGUGUGCUGAAGGUCUUGACAUUUCCUACCCCAUGUCUAGUGGCCACGAGUCACAGGUGACUGCUGAACACUGGAAGUCUGACUCAUCUGAAUUAGGAAAUUCUGUAGAUGUGAAUUACAAGCUAUCUUUCAAAUACUGAGUAUGGAGAAAAGGAUGCGAAAUAUCUCGGUGUCAUAUUAAAAUGUCG
rnacentral:lncRNA from 1 species